rnacentral:rRNA from 1 species
AUUGAACGCUGGCGGAAUGCUUUACACAUGCAAGUCGAACGGCAGCACGGACUUCGGUCUGGUGGCGAGUGGCGAACGGGUGAGUAAUGUAUCGGAACGUGCCCAGUCGUGGGGGAUAACGUAGUGAAAAUUACGCUAAUACCGCAUACGAUCUAUGGAUGAAAGCGGGGGAUCGCAAGACCUCGCGCGAUUGGAGCGGCCGAUAUCAGAUUAGGUAGUUGGUGGGGUAAAGGCCCACCAAGCCAACGAUCUGUAGCUGGUCUGAGAGGACGACCAGCCACCCUGGAACUGAGCACCGGUCCAGACUCCUACGGGAGGCAGCAGUGGGGAAUUUUGGACAAUGGGCGAAAGCCUGAUCCAGCCAUUCCGCGUGCAGGAUGAAGGCCCUCGGGUUGUAAACUGCUUUUGUACAGAACGAAAAGGUUUCUACUAAUACUAGGAGCUCAUGACGGUACUGUAAGAAUAAGCACCGGCUAACUACGUGCCAGCCGCCGCGGUAA